rnacentral:rRNA from 1 species
UACGUAGUGUGCAAGCGUUGUCCGGAAUUAUUGGGCGUAAAGAGCUUGUAGGCGGUUUGUCGCGUCUGCUGUGAAAUUUCGGGGCUCAACCCCGAACUUGCAGUGGGUACGGGCAGACUAGAGUGUGGUAGGGGAGACUGGAAUUCCUGGUGUAGCGGUGAAAUGCGCAGAUAUCAGGAGGAACACCGAUGGCGAAGGCAGCUCUCUGGGACGGUACUGACGCUGAGACGCGAAAGCGUGGGGAGCGAACAGG